rnacentral:rRNA from 1 species
UACGUAGGGUCCGAGCGUUGUCCGGAAUUAUUGGGCGUAAAGAGCUCGUAGGCGGUCUGUCGCGUCUGCUGUGAAAACUCGGGGCUUAACCCCGGGCCUGCAGUGGGUACGGGCAGACUAGAGUGCGGUAGGGGAGACUGGAAUUCCUGGUGUAGCGGUGAAAUGCGUAGAGAUCGGGAGGAACACCAGAGGCGAAGGCGGCGACCUGGACAGACACUGACACUCAACUGCGAAAGCGUGGGGAGCAAACAGG